GCACGUGUGGGACAAAUCAGCCUCUUCAUUUGUUUUCAGUGUUCCAUGCAAGAUUUCACUUUAUGCAUCACAAAACCAUGCUUCCUUGCUGGUAAAGCUUGUAAACAAUUAAAAAAAAGGUUAUUUUGUGCACAUAAAUAUUUAUAUAAGAGUUUUCAGGCGAGGUGGAGUUAACCUACAUCACCUCAGGAGGUUGUAACUUCUUACCAACCUUGCUACUAUGGCAACACGAACCUCUUAUGCGUUCGUGGAUACCAUAUGGCGGUCCGAGGUUGAUAAUGGGCGCUGAUCGCAGUUUGUUAAAAGUAGCAGCCGUUUCGUGGAUCUGGCCACUGGAUGCUUAAAGGCCGGUUCACACGAUCAUGCUGCAUGACAGGCAGCAUGAAACAACUGCAUGAAGCGGAUGCAUGAUUAGAAAGAAUGAUCGUGUGAACCCCGUUUUUGGCAUGACAUGCAGCAUGAACACGCGGCAUGACGUAUGAAGGGAAAUCCUGUGAGCAAGGGGCGGAGCUGGCAUGGCCUGAUGUAUGGCAUGACCGAGUGAACGUCAGUCAUGCAAAUUGCGUCAUUCUUGCCAGUAUUUGUGAACAGUACACAAGCUCUUAUCUUUGAUUAAUAUAGUUGUUUUCUUGUUUUUCAGUGCAAUGGAUAAGCAAAACGAAAAAGAUAAUACAUUAGAAUUUAUUUCCAUGUAUAGAAAUCAUGAAUGUUUGUGGAGAGUGCAAUGUAAGGAUUAUAGUAACAAAAACAAAAGGAAUAGUGCCUUAGAUGCGUUACUUGACAUAUACAGAAAACUAGUCCCUGGAGCAUCAAAGGCAGAUGUACUUAGAAAAAUAAACACUCUGAGGAGUAGUUUCAGAAGAGAAUUGAAGAAAAUUAAUGAUUAAAAAAAAUCUGGCUCUGGUACAGAUGAAUUAUACACACCAUCUCUGUACUAUUUUGACGAACUAAGGUUUGUUGCAGACCAAGAUGUUCCUCGCCAAAGUACAAGCACUUUAGAGGAAGAUGGAAAUACAAUGAAAACAACAGACCUUGUAUCGCAAGACACUGAACCAGGUCAUGCUGACGACUUGGAUACUGAUGUUACCUCGCCACAAAGCAGCACAUCAGUUCAAACACCAACUCCGAACAAAAGACCGAGACCCACAAAGAAAAAUGAUGUGACGCAUGACAUCCUACAGAGAGUGGCCGAAAACUUGCAGCGUCCAGAGUCGUCAAUGAGUAUUUUUGGUAAAUAUGUAGGUUCAAAACUGGACGAGUUCGACCCUAAAACAAGUAGGGUAGCACGUCGCUUAAUUAAUGAGGUUCUAGACGCUGCAGAAGGAGGAGAGCUUAGUAGCAAUGUAAGCCUAAACUUUAAUAAUGUAACAUUUAAGCCUUCAGAUAUUGUUUAAAUUGUUUCAAACCAAGUUACGUCACCUCAUGUUAUGAUACAAUCCCAACAAUACUCCAAUUACAAUGAUGCCCCCCAAAUCCGAGGGUCAACAUCCAUUAGUGAACCUCCCCUUACCCCAAAUGUAGGCAAUGAUCCACAAAAUUUAGGUUGUUAUUUCGCGAAUUUCACUCCUCUUUGAAGAUGUUUUUCAGAAAAGACUUGUUUCAUUUGUAUUUAUGAUGAUAUACAUGUCCGUGCUUAAAGGAUAUUUUUCUAAAAGUAGCUUUGCAGAUUUAUUAUGUUUUUGCAACAUGUACUUAUUUACAUCAAUAAUGUAAAGUGAAGGAACUCAAUUUGGUUAUUUUUGAAGGAUACUUUUCUAAAAGUAGCAUUGCAGAUUUAUUAUGUUUUUGCAACAUGUACUUAUUUACAUAAAUAAUGUAUAUUAAAUGAAGUAAAUUAUGUUUUUGGUUAAAA